UUCCGUCUGAGUGAAAGAAGUCAAUCUUUCCUGCCAUGCCCUCUGUGGGGCCCUGCAGCCCUCCCCACCAUGAAGCCUCCCCAGAGCACACCUGGGACGCAGGAGCAAAGACCCAAUAUGCCUUCACCGACCGAGCCACAUGGCUGGACUCUCAGCUGAGUGAUGGGCAUAAAAGCAGGUAACUGGUGAAUUCAUGAGCAGUCACUGGGUGCCCUGGACCCGGCACUGAGCUGUUAGAUAUGCCAAUACCUCAUGUUUACCCAGGACUUUGUGCUUCUCAAGGUGGUUUCAUACAAAUUAAAUCAUGGGGGCUUCUCUGCAGCCCUGUGAGGGCUACAUGAUGGGGUGAAAGAGCUCGGGCCUUGGGGUGGGAACAGCUGGGCCUGGAUCCCACCUCUCCUUAUAAGCAGCAUUGUCUCGUUAAUGUUACCUCUCUUCUCUGAGCCUUACUUUUCUUCAGCUGUAAAAUGGGAUCCUGGUCUCCACAAGGAUCCAGAGAACCUGUGUGGAGUACUGUUGGAGUGCCAGCACGCAGCACGUUCUGCUACAAGCUAAGGUGUUGCUGUUGUGAGAGUGUGUUGAGAGACAGGUCCCAUUCGAUACAGGAAGAAACAGGUAAAUGGUCCCCACAUUGUUUCACUGAAUGUUCACCACCAACUCUCAGCUGAGGAUGAGCAAAGUCAAGCAGCUUGGCCUAGGUCAGUGAGUACAGAAGACGCCAGCUGGAGCCAGCUCUGAGUCACUUGUGUGGGGUAGGGCAGGGGCGGGUAGGAUCACCUAAAGCUUCAGAGGAGGGAUGUUACACUGACCUCACGAUGCCUUCCUUCCUCACAGUCACUGCCAUCUCAGACCCUAUGCCCUAAGGUACCUGCAGGGCUAGGGAGGGGUCCUAUCAUGGAUAUCCCACAUCUGUUCAGGUUUUGAUGAAGCAAAUUGCUAUGUGGAAAGGCCUAUGUGACAAGCACACAAAGGUGGUCUUGUCCAACAGCCAGCAAGGAACUAAAGCUUGCAGUCCAAGACCCUAGAGGAACUGAAAUUCUGCCAAUAGCUACAAUCUUAGAAGCAGAUCCUUUCCCAAACAAGCCUUCAGGACUUGGACCUUCUUGGACAGAAAUGCCACUUUGUCCUGAAAAGCUCGAUGGGUGAAUUCUCCAUCCUGAUGAUGCAGAGUCAGUGUCCUCAGAACAUCUGAUGCAGCUGGACCAUCUGGGCUGGCCCCCAAAGUCCAUGUCAGUGGCUUUAUGGUCACAGGAAAUGAUGACUGUGGGGUGAAUUCCUACAAGAUAGCAUUUCGGGGGGUCUCCCCUAUGGUAGAAAGCAAGCUGGCUCCUGCCCGUUGGAUGAAAAGGGUGCAUGUUGACAUCACUCAAGCUCUGGCUGUCCUGUGAUCCCACUGUCUCAGCACUGUGCUCUAGGAGGGAGAUGAGGCCUUCCAGGGGAAGUGUUAUGUCUUCCGAGAUCCCAGAGCAGAUUCAGGGCAAAGGAUUGUGAAGCCUCACGAUCACAGUCUCCCGUCCCUUUUCAGAGACCUUCCUCCAAACCCACUGCUGGCACCACUGGGCCAUAAACUCAAGCAGAGAGGAAACUUGGCAUUUCCGGAACAAUCUUCUUCAUGUUCCUCAGCAAACCUGCAGAAGAUGACAGCCUGGUCACCACAUCACUAGAAGCAAGUGUGAAGGAUUUUAGAAAAACAGCCUCUGCUCCAGCCCCAGUGGAAACAGCCGUCUCUGAUCCGAGGUGGCCAGAGAACCCAGAAAAUAUAGCCUUGCCAGGCCCUCAGCCAGUGAAGCCCUUCUAGCACUGUGGUUCCUAUAAGAAGCUCCCUGGCAGCCACUCACAGGGCAGUUUGGUCCUCCUCUGUAGGAUGGAGAAGCCUAGAAGGCACUUCAGAGGAUGGGAUCAGCCAACCACUUUCUCCCAGCCCUUCCCAAGAGGUGAAGAGCAAUCCUGGAGGAUGCCAGCAAAUGAACAAAUGCCUGUCCUGACAAGAGUCUUUUCUGGUGAAACACUGCGCUUCCUAUGGAAUAAAGGGCAGGCGUGGCUGCUGAGACCCAGCAGUCCUUGGAGAGCAGGUCAUCUCUCUCCCUUCGUCACACAGCUCUCUCACCUUGCCAAGUCCUCUUUUCCUGUGUCCCAAGCUGAGAGCUGUCUGGCUGAUUCUGCAGAAUCCUUGCUGGUCCUGCAGACACCCCAGCUUCUGCAUCAAGGCCUUGGCUAAGUGCUGGGCUCAUCUCCAGUGAGGCAGGUAUCACCUUUGCAGGUCACUGCAUCUCUGGGUGGUGGAGUGUUGUUACCACCUACUCUCUCUGUGGUCUUCAAGUGACUCCCUCUGAGGCAGAGCCAUAGCUUGUCCCUUGGAUGGCCUUGGCCUCACCCUUUCCAGAGCCAGGACAGACAGCUUGCCCUUGAAUGUGACUGCUGAGGGUGUCUCCUCAUGGAAUCAUGGGCAUCUUACGGAAAGAGACCCAAUAUACAGUUCCUGGAGUCCAGAGGGGCUGGCCACAGAGCCAGUGGAGGGCUGGGCCAGAGUGACGCUGACCACGGCCCCCACCAGGCUCUUCUAGCCACCGCUGCCCCUCACUGGGAUUCUCACCCUCGCCUACCACAGAGGUUCUGGGACACCCGGGAGGCGACCUGUGCCAGCUUCACGGCCCGUGUCAAGUUUACAGUUGCCUUCAGAUGCCUCGAGACUGGGAAGGUCUCAGACAGAGACUGAAUCCAGCCGUCCCCUAGGUCUGGUCCCAUCAGGGAAAGAGCACAGUGGCUGCUGGCCUCUCUGCUGCGUUCCCUGGGAGCUGCCAUUCAAGCUUCCUGUGACUAACACGUUCCUUCUGUAGAGCUCACUGGUUUUCCUGGCUCCCUCUCCAAGUCUGGCCAGAGCAGAGCUGGCGUCUAGAAGUUUAUUUUUUUUUUUAAAUGUUGAGUGU